rnacentral:rRNA from 1 species
GAACGAAGGAUGCAAGCGUUAUCCGGAUUCAUUGGGUUUAAAGGGAGCGUAGGUGGCCUUAUAAGUCAGUGGUGAAAUCUCUGGGCUUAACCCAGAAAUUGCCAUUGAUACUUGUAGGGCUUGAGUAUAGUUGCCGUUGGCGGAAUAUGACAUGUAGUGGUGAAAUACAUAGAGAUGUCAUAGAAUACCGAAUUGCGAAGGCAGCUAACGAAACUAUAACUGACACUGAGGCUCGAAAGUGCGGGGAGUCAAAACAGG